UGAGCAUGCUGUGGCUGGCUGACCAGUUUAUUCUCAUUCACCUUGCUUCUCUACUAAACACGUAAAGCAUGCAUCUCCAGCUUCUGAAUUGGCAGGGCAUAUAUUAGCCUUGACACGCUGCAAAGAUUGGCUUGAAUUCCUUCACUGGGAUUUUCUCCUUGUGGCUAUUUUUAUCAGGGGUGGCUAGAGCGUUGUAAAUUUCAGACAUCAUAGCUGAGAUGAGGACUGUAACAGAAACAUGCUUGUCGACCAAAUGUUCAUGAGAUUGGAAGUCAGUGCAAAAAGAACUGCAGAAGUGUUGUUUGGCUGUCUGACAGAGAAACUGAUCAUUUUUUACUGUUGCAGCAAAAUUACCAUAUAAGGUUACUUUGAAGUUGUGUAUUACAUCUGACCUUCUAUUUAUAAUAUUAUAAAUAAUAAGGAGAUAGGGAGAGGAAAGCUAGAGGGUGGGGAUAGAGUAUCCAGUCUGUCUCUAAUAAUGUGUUUUAUGAUGUUUCUUUUUGCUUUUGAAAGAGGAAUCAACUGAGUUUCUUUUUAGAGAAAGACAAGAAAAUACUUUCUUCUGAAGUACCUAGGGCCAGGAUCAAAUUCUUUUCACAGGCAGAGACACACCAUUUCCCUUGUCUUCAACAGGAGUUCUCUUGCAUCUGAAGACAGCCCCUAGGCUCUACAAGUUUGAUAACUUCCCAGUCAAUGAGUGAAUGUUCCUCUCUCAAUUUUUAUCAUUCACUGACAAAUUCUCUAGACACAUCCUUUGUUAAUCUGGAAGCCUUAAGAGAAAACACCCCUCUCCCUGCUCAGGUAUCUUCUUGUUCGUCUGCUAGAAGAUAGAGCGAAAAAGGAGCUCCUGACCUGUGUGGAAUCAUUCAGUAUUUUGCAGGCUCCUAUCUGCAUGGCUGCAAGGACUAACAAAUGCCUAUUUAAAAACAUUUAUUUUUCAUUGUCGUAAAGGUAGAAAUCACCCACACAAUGCAGACAUUACACACAGCAGUGAUUCUGGUAAAAGAUAGGUAUCAACUAGAAGCAGCUCGAUGAGUUUCUUGCUCAGAGUUAGUUUAUUUGAAUACUGCCAACAAGACUAUUAUCAGUUUCAUUUCUCUGAAUGAGGCUUAUUUAGCUUGUGUAUCAUUUUUAGAGGUGUGGGAAAGAGUUGCCCUUAUGGGCUGGUUCAUGUCCAGCCAUGCAUUUCACACAUCGUCAGACGGCUUGUUCUGCAAGUACUUCUUCAAAGGACACACCUUCAGCUAUUCCAUUUGCCUGUGCCUCUGAAGUAUGACACCCUUAGAAGAAAUAUGAGAUGGCUUCAAAAAUAUUAGGGGAUCCCUACCUGGAAAAGAUGAGAAGUCAUAUUCUGCAAAGAUAAUAUGUCCCUUCAUACUGGCACAGAUUGAUCUUUGUAAAGCUAGCUAUUUUCCUUCCAAGUUUGGGUUUUAAAUUUCUCUCAGCUUUGUUGAGAACCAUUUACUCAUCCGUCUCUCACACAUAUACAAGAAAUGUCAUACAUUUGAUGCCUACCAAUGCCAAAAAUUUUUAGAGACAGUCAUCUUGUGGGUGCAAUGAAAUAUCAACUAGACAUCUCAAGCUAUUCUCCAAGUAUAAAUAUGUGUCUGUAAAUCGCUCCUAGAGGCAGAUGGGGCACAAAUUAAAAUUCAUACAGAUCUUAUUAAGAGAAAAAAAAAAAAAAAUCUCUUUGUAGGCCUAUAACAAAAGCAUUUUGAUGACUUACAAAAUAAAUCAGGGGAGUUAUCUUUUCACAGGAAGUGCCAAUCUAACUAAAUAUUUUUAAUGAUUAAGAGAAACCCUUUUUACUCUACUAAUGGAAAAGUUCUGUGCUGAGGCACCAAUGACAUUGAUUUAUGAAUAAAUAGAUAUAAAAGAGCAAAAUAAUAUUGAGCUUUCAAAUGUGAAGAAGUAUCUUAAGAACAGCCUGCAGGUUUCUUGGACAUUUUUACAGGUUAACACUAGACAGGGCCUUUAUAUGUAACCCAGAGCAACAUUUUUGAAUCAUAUCAAAGGAAGAGAUCUACUUUCUCCAGAUUCAGAUGCUCCAAAGUAAUGCAUACAGCCUGGUCUCAUCAAUGCAAAGAUGUGGACACUUUCAAAGGAUAAUUAUUGCAUGUAUCUGAGACUCCUGUCAGAGAGUGGAAUGAGGCAAAUGCCUUUUCUUGCAAGCAGGAAUUCUGAAAAGUUAAGCUGGAUGCCUAAGUAGUUGUACUUCUAGUCUUUGAUGGACUAAUAGGGAAAAUGGUGCCAGAACAACC
rnacentral:lncRNA from 1 species